GCAACGCGAAGAACCUUUACCAGGCCUUGACAUGCAGAGAACUUUUCCAGAGAUGGAUUUGGUGCCUUCGGGAACUCUGACACAGGUGCUUGCAUGGCUGUCGUCAGCUCGUGUCGUGAGAUGUUGGGUUUAAGUCCCGUAACGAGCGCAACCCUUGUCCUUAGUUACCAGCACGUUAUGGUGGGCACUCUAAGGAGACUGCCGGUGACAAACCGGAGGAAGGUGGGGAUGACGUCAAAUCAUCAUGCCCCUUAUGACCUGGGCUACAAACGUGAUACAAUGGCUGGAACAAAGGGAUGCGAAGCAGUGAUGUGGAGCGAAACCCAUAAAAACAGUCUCAGUUCGGAUUGAAGUCUGCAACUCGACUUCAUGAAGUCGGAAUCGCUAGUAAUCGUGGAUCAGCCAAGCCGCGGUGAAUACGUUCCCGGGCCUU
rnacentral:rRNA from 1 species